rnacentral:rRNA from 1 species
UGGGGAAUUUUGGACAAUGGGCGAAAGCCUGAUCCAGCAAUGCCGCGUGUGUGAAGAAGGCCUUCGGGUUGUAAAGCACUUUUGUCCGGAAAGAAAUCCUUGGCUCUAAUACAGUCGGGGGAUGACGGUACCGGAAGAAUAAGCACCGGCUAACUACGUGCCAGCAGCCGCGGUAAUACGUAGGGUGCAAGCGUUAAUCGGAAUUACUGGGCGUAAAGCGUGCGCAGGCGGUUUGCUAAGACCGAUGUGAAAUCCCCGGGCUCAACCUGGGAACUGCAUUGGUGACUGGCAGGCUAGAGUAUGGCAGAGGGGGGUAGAAUUCCACGUGUAGCAGUGAAAUGCGUAGAGAUGUGGAGGAAUACCGAUGGCGAAGGCAGCCCCUGGGCCAAUACUGACGCUCAUGCACGAAAGCGUGGGGAGCAAACAGGAUUAGAUACCCUGGUAGUCCACGCCCUAAACGAUGUCAACUAGUUGUUGGGGAUUCAUUUCCUUAGUAACGUAGCUAACGCGUGAAGUUGACCGCCUGGGGAGUACGGUCGCAAGAUU